AUACGGAGGGUGCAAGCGUUAAUCGGAAUUACUGGGCGUAAAGCGCACGCAGGCGGUCAAUUAAGUCAGAUGUGAAAGCCCCGAGCUUAACCUGGGAAUUGCAUCUGAAACUGGUUGGCUAGAGUCUUGUAGAGGGGGGUAGAAUUCCACGUGUAGCGGUGAAAUGCGUAGAGAUGUGGAGGAAUACCGGUGGCGAAGGCGGCCCCCUGGACAAAGACUGACGCUCAGGUGCGAAAGCGUGGGGAGCAAACAGGAUUAGAUACCCUGGUAGUCCACGCUGUAAACGAUGUCGAUUUAGAGGUUGUGGUCUUGAACUGUGGCUUCUGGAGCUAACGCGUUAAAUCGACCGCCUGGGGAGUACGGCCGCAAGGUUAAAACUCAAAUGAAUUGACGGGG
rnacentral:rRNA from 1 species